CUUCAUUAGCCCUCUUUCGGAACAUUUAUUAUAUUUAAUUAAUAAAAAAGUCCCAUCACUGACCAGCAGGGCUCCCUGACUGGCUUCCCGCUGAUCUGGCACCAGCCGGGCCAAUCAGAGAGAGCCGCCAUGGGUCCGUCAAAUAUAGUCCAUGAGCACGUGUGGCGUGGUGGACAGAACCCUCUGGCUUGUCUUGGGAGACCAACAGCACCUGGUCCAGACAUGGAGAGUCGGAGGGUGUCAUAGCAGUGGGGAGUGGGCAGAAGAGACAACUUAACUUAGAGCUCGCUCAGGCAGAGAGGCAGAGGGAGACAUAGACUGACACACACACACACAGAGACAGACUGACAGUACUGACGGUGAGAGAGAGAGACGGACAGACGGAAACGGAGCGAGACAGCGGUAGAGGAAGAGGAGCAGGACCUCAGCUUGUGGGUUAUCGGCUACAGUGUAAGAAGGACGCCCCGCUGAGCUGCAGGACUGACUGAUAGAGCCUCCAAGGGUUCAGAGAGCACAUUGAACCAGAGCAAUAUGGAGGUCAGAGUUCACCGAACACGAGCAGCAACGUUUUACUCCAUUUGUCAACUAUUUGCAGUUCUCUGCGGACCUUUACUUCAUGUCCAGGGUCAAGGCUAACACCGUGGUAAUGUGUCAAGGCAGGCAGGGUGGCUUCAGAGGCGUCUCCCCGGCGAUGGAAGCGUGUUAAUACACAGGCGAGCCCUGUGAAGCGCGGUUUGGAAGGCGCGGCACCGUACUCCCAUCCUAAUCGUGGACUCGCAGCCUGCUACGACAGAACGCCAAGCCGUGUGUUAUCUCCCAGCGAUUCGUCUCCAGCCCUCCCAGUCACUCCAUUCCCACUUGUAAAUUCCCGGCGCUGGGAGGCGCGUACUCUCAGGGUGUUGUUGUUAGUGUUGUUGAUCACCGUUCAAGUCGUCCUUUGUAUACAAGUAGCUUCCCGCAAAAAAAACACAUUUCAUAAAAAAAACACAUUUCUGGAUUAUCAUUUUUAUUUUUGCUUUUUAAGGCAUUUCUGCUUCAGCUGGACUCUCUUGGCGUCCUACAUAAUUUGUUGCUUCAAACACUUUAUUUUCUUUUUUUUAAUCCAUUUGGGGACAUGUCUGCUUCAUCUUGACUCUGUCGGCGUCUUAAUUAUUUUGUUGCCUCAAACAGUUUUUUGUCAAACUCCAGACACAAACAAUAUUUUGUCCAACUCUAGACCGAACUCCGGCCAGAUCCACUCUCCCUCUGCCAGCUGCUUAUUCUCCAGUGACUUUGAGCCACCUUCAAGCCGGACUCGUAAAAGCUGGCUAACUGUCAGCCGCUGUCAGCACAGUCUGAGUGGUGGACGGGACAUGUCAUCCUAGCAAAAUUUAAAACGCCUUCUGAGGGCCCCUGGCUGACAGACUGCCACUGGCUCCCGUCCCCAGGCAGAUUUAAUGUCCCCCGCUACUCCUCCAGGUCCGCACCCACCACAGCAGCACAUCAAGAUGUGUAUUACCAUCUCUCUCUCUCCCCCCUCCCCUCUGUCUCUUUGUAUCCCUCUAUUUCUUGUUCUCUCAUCAUACCCUGUCUGUCUGUCUGUCUCUGCUGGCUGUCUCUUCUGUCUCGUUCUCUCUCUCGUUCUCUCUCUGGUUCUCUCUCCCUCUCGCUCUCGCUCUCGCUCUCUCUCUCUCUCUCUCUGCUAGCAAGGGAUACAGGUUGCGGGCAUGUUGCAGACACCAAACCUCAAAUCCCCACAUGAUUGACCCAAUAGGUCAAUAUUCUGACCUCUCUGUCUGUUAUGCAAGGCAGCUGAAUUCCGCCGGCAGACCUCAUUUGUAUUAUUUGUUUUGCUCUUUCCAUCCUCCUCCUCUAGUGAUAAAACGCUACCACAAGAGCA
ensembl:lncRNA